rnacentral:lncRNA from 1 species
GAAAAAAGUAAAAAUGAGUAAUUCUGUUAGCGAUUUAAACAUCUUUUCAGUGUUUUCAGAGCUUUAAAUGGACACUUUCUUGAACUGAGCAUCCAUUUUUGGCCGUAUUGAAGUUUCCUUCUGCAGGGUGCUACUACUCAUAUGGGGAAGCUUCCACAUUUAGCCUUUCUGGUGGACUGUGACAAGAACUACUGAACUAUAAUAACUUCAGGAGAAGAAAGACAGCAACUACUGUUCUACAUGUUCAAGUUGAAAGACAAUUCUGGUCAGAAGCUUGAAAUCACAGAUCCCAGUCUUUUGCCAGAGUGUGAAGGUCAUCUCUUCUGUAAGAGACAUACUCUGAGCCUUGAAGGACAGAGCCCUAACAACAGGUUCCUUGACCAGCCUAUCCUAACUAGGAGGUAACAGGACCUCUACUACCUGCAGCUUUGAAUUUGUACGAGAGUUUCAGCCCAAGUUAAUCCAACUGUAGAUAAGAAUAUGUUCUAGUUAAAUAACUCAAAAAAAAUAAAAUGAAUUUGAU